GACGAACGUUGGCGGCGUGCUUAAUACAUGCAAGUCCACUGAAGCAGUGGUAGCAAUAUCGCUGUGGAGGUGGCGCACGGGUGAGUAACACGUUGGUAAUCUGCCUUCAGGUCUGGCAUAACUCCGGGAAACCGGGGCUAAUAGCAGAUGAUGCAGCGGCUCGACAUCGAGACAGUUGUUAAAGCUAUGGCGCCUGAAGAUGAGCCUGCGUCUGAUUAGCUAGUUGGCGGGGUAACGGCCCACCAAGGCAACGAUCAGUAGCUGGUCUGAGAGGAUGAUCAGCCACACUGGAACUGAGACACGGUCCAGACUCCUACGGGAGGCAGCAGUAAGGAAUAUUGCUCAAUGGGAGAAAUCCUGAAGCAGCAACGCCGCGUGAGGGACGAAGGGCUUUUGCUUGUAAACCUCUGUAGUGAGAGAAAAAAAUCCCAAUCUUUGGGACAUGAUGGUAUCUCAAAAGUAAGCCCCGGCUAACUACGUG
rnacentral:rRNA from 1 species